UAUUCUUGUACAUACAUCCCUCGUUUUCCACUGCCCAGGCAUUCAGAUCUCUAUUCCCGACACCACGAUGAAAGCCACGGUUGCACAGACACGUCUUUAGGCGCAGGAAAAAUGCUUUCCUUCCCGCCGGGAGACCCCGCCGCAUUCUGGGAGAGCCCUAUGGAAAUCACGAGUCCCGCCCCUGCCCUCGGCGCCGCCUCCCGCCGCCUUUCCCCGGGAGCGGCGCCGUUCGGGGGAGUUUCCCCGUGCGCCUCCGGAGAGCUGGCUGUCCCCCCUCCAUCCCUUCGCUGCGUUUUGCAAAGAUAACUGAGCUUCCCCUGGGUUUGUCAUUACUGAAGGAAGCUAGGUUUUCCUGGACUUGGAGGAAUUCCUGGGUUUUCUCUCAAGUAACACUUUCAACUGCUGUGGCACAGAUGCCUUUGAAGCACAGUGUCUGUGUUGUGAACAAUGGCAAAAAUCAAG
rnacentral:lncRNA from 1 species